GGAUGUAAGGGUGAUCUGGCUGCGACACCCGUCACCCCAUUGAUCGCCAGGGUUGAUUUGGCUGAUCUGGCUGGCUAGGUGGGUGUCUCCUUCCUCCCUCACCGCUCCAUGUGCGUCCCUCCCGAAGCUGCGCGCUUGGUGGAAGAGGAUGACCAUCCCAGAUAGAAGGCGUGUACCAUUCUUCAGUCAAGGGUAUAGGAUAGCUGCGCUCCCCUGCUAGAACCUCCAAACAGGCUCAAGAUUGUAGCUCUCACAAAACCAUUUAACGGCCAACAGAAGGUAGAAUCUUUUCGGGCAAUCUUUCCAAUGAAUCAGGAUUAUAAAAUAUGUACGUUAGUGCUAGUCAACAGGAUU